UGUAUAAUGGGUCAGCGACUUAUAUUCUGUAGCAAGGUUAACCGAAUAGGGGAGCCGAAGGGAAACCGAGUCUUAACUGGGCGUUAAGUUGCAGGGUAUAGACCCGAAACCCGGUGAUCUAGCCAUGGGCAGGUUGAAGGUUGGGUAACACUAACUGGAGGACCGAACCGACUAAUGUUGAAAAAUUAGCGGAUGACUUGUGGCUGGGGGUGAAAGGCCAAUCAAACCGGGAGAUAGCUGGUUCUCCCCGAAAGCUAUUUAGGUAGCGCCUCGUGAAUUCAUCUCCGGGGGUAGAGCACUGUUUCGGCAAGGGGGUCAUCCCGACUUACCAACCCGAUGCAAACUGCGAAUACCGGAGAAUGUUAUCACGGGAGACACACGGCGGGUGCUAACGUCCGUCGUGAAGAGGGAAACAACCCAGACCGCCAGCUAAGGUCCCAAAGUCAUGGUUAAGUGGGAAACGAUGUGGGAAGGCCCAGACAGCCAGGAUGUUGGCUUAGAAGCAGCCAUCAUUUAAAGAAAGCGUAAUAGCUCACUGGUCGAGUCGGCCUGCGCGGAAGAUGUAACGGGGCUAAACCAUGCACCGAAGCUGCGGCAGCGACGCUUAUGCGUUGUUGGGUAGGGGAGCGUUCUGUAAGCCUGCGAAGGUGUGCUGUGAGGCAUGCUGGAGGUAUCAGAAGUGCGAAUGCUGACAUAAGUAACGAUAAAGCGGGUGAAAAGCCCGCUCGCCGGAAGACCAAGGGUUCCUGUCCAACGUUAAUCGGGGCAGGGUGAGUCGACCCCUAAGGCGAGGCCGAAAGGCGUAGUCGAUGGGAAACAGGUUAAUAUUCCUGUACUUGGUGUUACUGCGAAGGGGGGACGGAGAAGGCUAUGUUGGCCGGGCGACGGUUGUCCCGGUUUAAGCGUGUAGGCUGGUUUUCCAGGCAAAUCCGGAAAAUCAAGGCUGAGGCGUGAUGACGAGGCACUACGGUGCUGAAGCAACAAAUGCCCUGCUUCCAGGAAAAGCCUCUAAGCAUCAGGUAACAUCAAAUCGUACCCCAAACCGACACAGGUGGUCAGGUAGAGAAUACCAAGGCGCUUGAGAGAACUCGGGUGAAGGAACUAGGCAAAAUGGUGCCGUAACUUCGGGAGAAGGCACGC
rnacentral:rRNA from 1 species